UCAAUUAAAGAUAUUUAUUGAAUCAUCAAGUACAUGUCUUCAUAAUCUAAACCGUUAAAGAGAACACUACAUCAGGGCCUUCUAAAUUCUUCAAUAACAGUAUGAAGUAACUAGGAUGGUAAAAUGUCCAAUUCGACACCUUGGUUCAUCAUCAGCAGGGACCUGUGGGAAAGGUUAUGCAUUAAACCACCACAUCAAGGUAAGAAAUAAACUUAGAUUUUAAUAUUGUUAGGAAAAUUUGAAACAUGAAUGAUAAUAUCCUCAUAUAUUCUCAAAAAUAUCUUUCUCAUUGACAUGAGUCAGAAGUAAUGGUAUAAUCAUAGUGAUAAUCAUUUCAGUCUUUAUGAACCAACUCUAGGCCUACAUAUACUUGCCUUUUGCCACAUGGGGGCCGUAGCAAACAGUACUGGGCCCGGAAGAGGCCUUCCACCAAACCAGCUCCAUAUUCUUCCACGAUUCCUUUUAAGGGGGUAAAGUACAACUCUAAUGAUCAAACUGAAAGGAACAAUCUUUCCCACUUAUGGGUCAAAUGGGUAGUGAUUAUUUUAGUCAUUGGUAAAAUCAAUCUCUGUUAACGAUAUAAGAAUUACAUACCUGCUACCUACGGGUCAUAGCUGCAGCGGCAUAAACGACUCCGCCUUCCUCGUUGAGUCCUAUGAGAAGGAAAAACAAAUGUAUAAGAACAUUUCCAUAGCAGGUUUUAGGUCACAACGUAUUACAACACCCUCAGAAUUUCAGGACGAUUUCUUUCCCGCAUGGGGUCAAAUGGGUAGUGAUAGAUUUAAUCAUUGGGAAUUUUGGGAUAGUAAUUCGAUUGAUGAAUAAAGUGCAUACUUACAGGCAUCAGUGCACUAGAGGAUGCAUGCACCCCCACCUUGAAGUAGUCGAUGUAGUUUGGAAAAACUCCAAAACGCGAAGAAGAUCAACGUAUCACCAUAUUUUCGCAGAAACAUCUGCCUACCUCGUGCUCAUUUCCAUUUCCAAAAAUCAAAAUACUAUCAUGUGGGCUCAUCUUUGGUUGUCCGGUGUGCAUUUCGCUAUUAAUUAAUAGUCGUCUCACAUUGGCUUUUCCGGUUUUAACAAAGAUUUGUUAAUAUUUGGCUACAAACGGAGAAACACAUACCCUGCAAAGCCAAGCCUCAUGUAAGAAGACUUCUUCUACGCACUUGAAUUUGUACUUCGC
ensembl:lncRNA